AGAGUUUGAUCAUGGCUCAGAACGAACGCUGGCGGCAGGCUUAACACAUGCUAGUCGAGCGCCCCGCAAGGGGAGCGGCAGACGGGUUAGUAACGCGUGGGAAUCUACCGAGCCCUACGGAAUAACGCAUGGAAACGUGUGCUAAUACCGUAUACGCCCUACGGGGGAAAGAUUUAUCGGGGUUUGAUGAGCCCGCGUUGGAUUAGCUAGUUGGUGGGGUAAAGGCCUACCAAGGCGACGAUCCAUAGCUGGUCUGAGAGGAUGAUCAGCCACAUUGGGACUGAGACACGGCCCAAACUCCUACGGGAGGCAGCAGUGGGGAAUAUUGGACAAUGGGCGCAAGCCUGAUCCAGCCAUGCCGCGUGAGUGAUGAAGGUCUUAGGAUUGUAAAGCUCUUUCACCGGAGAAGAUAAUGACGGUAUCCGGAGAAGAAGCCCCGGCUAACUUCGUGCCAGCUGCCGCGGUAAUACGAAGGGGGCUAGCGUUGUUCGGAAUUACUGGGCGUAAAGCGCACGUAGGCGGAUAUUUAAGUCA
rnacentral:rRNA from 1 species